UUGUCCUAAGCCAUCCUUCUUGCAGACAUCACGUAGAAAUUAACAUAGACCAUAUUUGACUAGGGUACGCCACAAAUAGAUUAUUUGAGCCUCAUUUAAGAACUAUCUUAACCCUGCAGGUUCUGUCCAAGUCGGUACUGUUCAAUCCCAAUAUCAUGUAUAAGAAUUCAAUUCUUGAGACCCCUGUUCGCCACCAAGAGUUGGUCUUGGCUUUGGCCUUCAACAAUCACUUCUUGUGUAGCGAAAGGAGUCAAAUACAGUAACUGCCCCCAACAUAAAGAUGAGUUUUUCUGACCACCGGAUUGGCAUUCAAAGAGAGAGCAUUAAUGCUAAUAUCCAUCUUGAGUUGGAAAAGGAUGCAUCUCCGGUUACCCAAGGGGCCCGGCCCCUAAUAGUGAUCUAAAAUUCCUCCCAAUCCCUUUUAUUGGUAAAUUACCAGUAAAAGAUGGAUCAAUGCGAUUUUCCCAGACUUCAAGAAAGCCACAGAGAGAGAGAGAGAGAGAGAGAAAGUGGGUUCGUAACAGAAUCUGAAAACAAGAUUUUCUUUAAGUGGGGUUUAAGAGAUUGCAUCGUUCAGUUCAUUGAAGUCAAUCCAUGAAAAAGGUGAGAAAUCUCGUGGGAAUCCAACGUAACUGUACGUUUUUUCCUUUUUUUUGGUUAAUAAACGUAAGUGUACGUUGCGAACUUAUAAAUGCGGACGAGUGACUCUCCUACCAGUGUCAAACCCUAACGUGUUAUCUCAUCCCCUCCUCAAACUCUCUCUCUCUCUCUCUCUCUCUCUCUCUCUCUCUCUCUCAAAAGCCGGCCAUUAGACAGAAAGAAAACCCACAUCAACCUUAUAAACUUGCCUAUCCCCAAAAAACUCAUCUCUUCCACCACAUAAAAAGAGAAGAAAGGGACCCAAUAUUUCUCUUCUUUGAGUCGACCCUUCCAAUCCAAAACAUCAUGAAGAAAGCUCUCUAUGGUUUGUUUCUUUUCCUUCUUCUCCUAGCUUCAAUAUGGUAUGGAGCUACAUACAGAGCUCCCUUAUUCCUUACCAAAGAUAUCAUGAUCAGUAGCAGCAACAAUAUUGAUAUCAACAAUAAGGAGCCGAAUUAUUCAGGUGGGAGUAGAAUGAUUGGCAGAAACUGGAGGAUGAGGUUUGGUACUGAGUUCCCCAGGGGCAUCCCUGUCCCACCUUCUGGCUCAUCGAAUCGAAGCAACAAAAACCUCUAUCCCUCACCACCACCACGACCACCGACCACAUUCAACAUACAAGUUUCUUCUUUAUCAAUUAAUGAUUAGAGCUUCUGGAAGUGGCUAAAUCUGGGAGUAAGGCUUUUCGUGGAAGACUUUUAAAAGUAUUAUCAUUGAAUAAGUUUUAUGGAUGACUGUAUAACCUAAACUAGCUUCAGAUCGAUUCGUUUGAUCAUGCAUUUUUUCUUUUUCUUUUUUUAA